UCAUGGGAUGAUUGUUGAUCUUUGUCAUCAUGGUAGUGAGAAUAAGAAAUGUGCCAAGUUCCUAUCACCGAAAUCACUUCGUGAGCGCUUGGAGUUGUUUCAGAUACUAAAUCCUAGAGAACUCCACUUCCGUAAUUAUUCAUUGCCUGAAGGUGUAUCAAGCGUAGUCCCUUCAGGAUUCAUGAAAACUAUUUACCGGUUAAAAUCCUUGGGCUAUCCAAUGCCACCACCACUUGUGCUUGAAU